rnacentral:tRNA from 1 species
GGCCUAAGAUGAAAAAAAUUCAUAUCACUGAUCCCACAAAACAAUAUUUUUAUUAAAAUACUUAAGC